UUUAAGGUGUACAUUAUUGGGGAUGCAAUAAGGGUUGUACGUCGGUUUUCACUUCCAAAUGUUGAUGAAGGUGAUAUGUCGAAUAAUGCUGGGGUAUUUCGGUUUCCAAGGGUCUCUUGUGCUACAACCAGUGCAAAUGAUGCAGAUCGCAGCCAGUGCAAAUGAUGUAGAUCUUGACCCUGGUGUUGCUGAACUUCCUUCGAGACCAUUGCUUGAGAUCUUCGCACGAGAACUGUGGCGAUGACUAGGUCUUAGACUAUUCGACAUUGAUAUGAUUAGGGAGCAUGGAACAAGAGAUUGGUUUUAUGUCAUAGACAUGAACUACUUUCCCGGUAUGUGGCUGUUUCCUUGCGUUGCCUCUCCGUUUGCAGGGAAGGGUGCUCCCAGCCCCCGUCGUGCCCCUCCCAACCCUCGUCGUCGUAAUGGAGGAUGUAUUCUCUUUAAUUGUGGAGGCCUUCAUGCCUCUGGAUGACAUAGAGAGCCCCUUCUUUGGAAGGAGAACUUCAAUUCUUGAUACAGUCACAAAAGUUUGGUCCUGUGUGGUGAUGCUAGAUCUUGAAUGUGACGAUUUGGAAGGAGAACUUCAAUUCUUGAUACAGUCACAAAAGUUUUUACUACAAUAUAGACUACUAAACAUGCUUUCAUUUUUCAUGCAGGGUUCUAUACUCAUAAGCAUGUGGUUGCACCACACAACCUUUUGUUUUAUAUGUUGCCAUCUGAUCUCUGGUGAAAAGGAGGGAGAUGAGCUACAGAGGAAAUCUGAUGUUAUGGAAAUUCUAAGAAAAGUAUAGAUUUCCAUAGGUCCGUGGUGCCACUGAUGUCAAGUCACCAGAAACAAUUCUUGAGCAUGAGCAUGCGUCGAUGCUCUUUUUUC